UUAUAAUUAAUAUAAAUAAGGCUGUAAAUAAUGUUAUUUUAUUCCAAUGAAAUAAUAUUUUUUUGUCCACUUUGAUUCGUCACACAACGAUGGCAAUUCCCCCCCAAAUCUGACCGUCGUCCGCUCUGGCAGUUCGAUUCGACCAUCGUCGAUUAUCCAUCCAUGCAGGAAUUUAACAACACUAACCAAGGUGAUUGAUAUGAGGCUGUUCAAUUAUUCUGAAGUUGAGAAAGACAUUUGAUGCUUUGGAAAUUAAGAACCCUAGAAAUGGAUUUGGGAUCGAGAAGGCGAUGAUUCAAGGACGUUGGAGGCAAGCAAACCCUAUUCAAGAAGAACCGGUAGAAAUCAUUGGAUGCGAUGAUACUCAGCUUCAGAUGCCAUUAGUAUCAAGAUUAAUCCCACCAUUAAUCUUCUUCAAUUUGCCCUAGCAAUAACGUCAUCAAAUGCCUUCGACUUCUCCAUUGACAUUUCCAACUGAAAAAGAAAGAAGGAAAAAAUAUUUUUCAUUUGCUUUACUAACGAUGCGACUAGUUAUUUCGUUGCAAACUUCCACAGUAGAUGUUUUGAUAUCUUAUCAGGAAGAAUUAAAUAAAGAAAUUUAUAUUUAAUUUAUACAAUUUUGAAGAAUUCUAGAUCUGAAUCUAUCUUGUUAUUACCUUUCGACACAACAAAAUUAUUAUUCUUCAGAAUAUCGGAUAUGCUAAUCACAGAUCCCGCUGCUAUAAAAGCAAAAAAUAAACGAUUAAUAAUUUCAGAAUUAAAAUGUGGCUCAAAUUCAUGGCAUUCGUUAAAGAAAUCAAGGAACAAAUCAGUAACACCAAGUUCAUAUCUAAAUCCCAGGCAUAAGAAGAACAUAAUUAGGGUUUAUAAGAAAAAUCAAUCAAUCUAAUGAUCUGAACAGUACCUUGGCUAGGUCAACGUAGAAGAAUAACAAAUCACCCUAUGAAAUAAUCUAUAAUAAAAAAUCCAACUAUGAUACACAAAAAAUAACUUUUGGUUGCUUGUGUUAUGCAACUACAAAUAAUAGAGAAUAUAAGUUCUCACCAAGAUCCUUUAAAGGAAUAUUCAUAAGAUAUCCCCCAAAUAUUAAAGGAUAUUUAAUACUAGAUCCACAAACUACAAACUUUCACAUUAGUAGAAAUGUGGUUUUUAGAGAAAACAUAUUUUCCUUCAAAAGUGAAGAAACAAAAGAAAACAUACAAAAUUCAGACUAACCCAAAAUUCAGAAAAGUUGUGGGUUCAAAAUGGAUCUACAAAAUAAAAUACAAACCCAAUAUUGGAGACAUUGAGAGAUAUAAAGGUAGGUUUGUUGCCAAGGCUUUACUCAAAAAAAGGAUUUGAUUUUUAUGAAAGUUUUGUUCCGGUAGCAAAAACAGUUCAUAUGUUCAACAAAGCAUUAGUUGAAAACAUAUUAAGAGCCUCUCUAAAGCUUGGAAUAGCAAAUAUCUACUCCAAGACUUGAGAGGGGAGAAAAGGAAUCAAUUAGUAAAUUAAAUAAUUAAGAUCUCUAAAUUAACUUCAUUUUACUUUAAGUCUUUGCAUGUAAUUUGUAAAACAUUUUUGGACUUAAGUGAAAUAACAAAGUAAUUGAACAUUUUCAUAUAUGGGCCAAUAUUAAAGCCCAGUGAAAGAUAUUAACAUCAUACAACCCAAAAGCAAUGGAUCAAAUAUCUUGAAUUACAAUUAGUUGUUUAAAGAUCUUGAAUUUAAUUAGUUGUUUAAAACUAAUUGUAAUUAGUUAAAGAUAACUAAAAGAUUAUAGUUGAUUAUAAUUAAUAUAAAUAAGGCUGUAAAUAAUGUUAUUUUAUUCCAAUGAAAUAAUAUUUUUUUCUCCACUUUGAUUCGUCACACAACGAUGGCAAUUCCCCCCAAAUCUGACCGUCGUCCGCUCUGGCAGUUCGAUUCGACCAUCGUUGAUUAUCCAUCCAUGCAGGAAUUUAACAACACUAACCAAGGUGAUUGAUAUGAGGCUGUUCAAUUAUUCUGAAGUUGAGAAAGACAUUUGAUGCUUUGGAAAUUAAGAACCCUAGAAAUGGAUUUGGGAUCGAGAAGGCGAUGAUUCAAGGACGUUGGAGGCAAGCAAACCCUAUUCAAGCAUAUUCAAGAAGAACCGGUAGAAAUCAUUGGAUGCGAUGAUACUCAGCUUCAGAUGCCAUUAGUAUCAAGAUUAAUCCCACCAUUAAUCUUCUUCAAUUUUCCCUAGCAAUAACGUCAUCAAAUGCCUUCGACUUCUCCAUUGACAUUUCCAACUGAAAAAGAAAGAAGGAAAAAAUAUUUUUCAUUUGCUUUACUAACGAUGCGACUAGUUAUUUCGUUGCAAACUUCCACAGUAGAUGUUUUGAUAUCUUAUCAGGAAGAAUUAAAUAAAGAAAUUUAUAUUUAAUUUAUACAAUUUUGAAGAAUUCUAGAUCUGAAUCUAUCUUGUUAUUACCUUUCGACACAACAAAAUUAUUAUUCUUCAGAAUAUCGGAUAUGCUAAUCACAGAUCCCGCUGCUAUAAAAGCAAAAAAUAAACGAUUAAUAAUUUCCAAAGAAAACAUAAUAAUUCAUAAUCCUACCCAUUCCAAGUGUAGAUAAUUCAAUUUCUCCAUACUGCUGAAGAUAUUUCUGAAAAUGCAAGAUCACCAUUUAGAAAUAUUAGAUAAAAAUAAAUCGCUGAAAAACAUAAUGAUCUGAACAGUACCUUGGCUAGGUUAACGUAGAAGAAUAACAAAUCACCCUAUGAAAUAAUCUAUAAUAAAAAAUAGAACUAUGAUACACAAAAAACUUUUGGUUGGUUGUGUUAUGCAACAACAAGUAAUAGAGAACAUAAGUUCUCACCAAGAUCCUUUAAAGGAAUAUUCAUGAGAUAUCCCCCAAAUGUUAAAGGAUAUUUAAUACUAGAUUCAGAAACUAAAAACUUUCACAUUAGUAGAAAUGUGGUUUUUAGAGAAAACGUAUUUCCCUUUAAAACUGUAGAAACAAAAGAAAACAUACAGAAUUCGUAUCAACAAAAUAACAUAUAUAUAAUGAAAUAAUACUCGCACAUGAAAAUGAAAGGAAAAACGUAACUCAAAAAGACAAAAUCAAUUUGUCUACACAAUCAAAAUAUUCAAACUAAAAUAAAAAAGAGAAUACUCUCAUAGAACCAAUACGUUCUAAUCCAAGCAAAAAUGGUCAUACCCAGAACAUUACAACAUAACAUGAUUUUUUAGAAGAAAAUCUAAGUUCAACCUCAGAAAAACUAUUGAAUAAUUCAAAAGAGGAAAUAAAUCAAAACACAAAUCUAUCAGAUUAUAUAAAUAAUGAAAAAAAUAAUUCAUCAGAUAACCAAAUAAAUUCUGAUAAAUCAUCAGAAUAUCAAAUAAAUCAUAACCUAUCAAAGAAUCAAUCUGACAAAUACACAGAUCAAAAUUUAAACCAAAUUCAAAUAAUAACUGAAACUCAAAACAAAAAUGAUCAAACUUCAACAAACAUAUUACAAAGAAACAAUGAAGUUAUAAAUAAUAAAAUAACAAUGAACACCAUAAUAAAAUCUGAGAGAGAGGUAAAUAAACUAAAUAUUUUGAGAAUAACUAACUUAAAGAUGAUGGUUAAUAUAAAACAAAAUAUCCAAUGAGCAAUCAUGUCUCAUAUCAUAGAAUAAAUAGAAAUCAUAAAUAAUUUUUAAAACAAAUAACAAUCAAUAAUGAACCCAACACAUAUAAGGAAGCUUCAAAUUAAAUAAUCCAAAAUAGGUAGAAGCAAUGAAAAAAGAGAUGGAUGCAUUAUUAGAAAAUAACCUCCAUUUCAUCAUCCAAAUUGAAAGGUCUUCAUCUUCAAGCCAUGGAGAAAGAGAAGAAAGGAAAGCUUCAUUUUAUAAUCAUCCCAUACCUAGCCCCGGGCCAUAUACUCCCAUCUAUUGAUUUUGGCCGUCUACUAGCCAGUCGUGGAAAUGUAGUAACAAUAAUCACUACAACUCCGGCUUACGUUGCGCGUUUCACACGUUUCAAAACAACGACCGCAAACCAACCACCUAUUCGGUUCGCAGGUGUGCCUCCUAGGCAAGAAGGAGGGUGCGAGAGCGCAUAUGAAGUAAAAGAUCCUCUAUGUGUGUUUGAAAUAUCUAAGGGGGGAAAGAUCUAGUGAAGGAAUGGAUUGAAAAAGAGAAGAUGGGUGUUUAUGAUGAUAUUCCGAUUUGCAUGGUAUCAGAUUAUUGCCAAACAUGGACGAGAAACGUUGCGUCCGAGUUUGGGUUGGUGAGAUUUGUGUUCAAUUGUAUUGGAAGCUUACCGUCGUUGUGUGAAGCAAUCUUGCAAAAGAGCUAUGGCGAAAUAGCAGAGGAGGAAAUAAUUGAUAAUAGAGAGAAGGUUAUAAAAGGAAUACCAGAAUAUGGCAGUGACAAAAGGAAAAGUUUCUGGUUUCUUUCCCAAGGGUACAUCAAUGUAUGAUGAGGUUGGUGAUGUUGUUAAUUUAAACAAUUUUUUUCUUUGAUGUAAUUAAAUUUCAUUAAAAGAUAUUAGGCCAAUGCCCAAUUUACAUAAACAAUAUAAAAAAGGAAAGGACGUUGUAUGGCGGACUUGUAGCGGCGGAUUUUUGCCAUGACAAGUGCAGCACUUUUGAUGGCGGAUUUCCUCCAUCAAUUCAUUUAAUCCGCCAUUGCAAGUCUUGGACAAGCCGACCGAUUUUAUAGUUUACAGAAUUUUAAAUCCACUGAAUUUCAAAGACGUGUUAAAAAUAUUAACUGUAAGUAUAUAUAUAUGCGUGUGUGUGUUUAAAUAUUUUAGUUCUUUUCCAAAACUAAUAAAUUUUAAAUACGUAGAAUGAGUAUGAUUUCAUUCAAAGCAAAACGGGACAAAUUUAUAUCAAUAUUAAGUCGAAAAAGCUUCGUAGGAGCAACCAUAAUUUUUUGGUUAAACAAUAUGACAGAGAUCCAAAUAUGACUGAAGAAGAAUUUUUUUCAAACUCUUCCGACUUUUGUCAGCAAAUCUCAAUUUCUGAAUAAAUUGAGACAAUCAAAAGCGGAGAGAGGAAAUGUGUGUAUAUAUUUAUUGAAAUUAAAAAUUCUCUCAGUUAUUAUUUCUUAUUUUUAAUUUUUUUAGGAAAUUUUCGAGAUAAAUUUCACAAAUCGAACGAAUCAAAUGAUACAUCACGCUGGUUCAAAAGGAUUAGCCCAACGACGCCAUGAAUUGGUAAUGAUUAAUAUUUUAUAUUGAAAUUAUUCAAAUACUAAUUGAUCAUGUUAAUAUAGAGAAAACAAUGAAGGGAUGAGCUCGAAGCCUGGCCGAAUCAUUAUCAAUGACAUGUCGGAGAAAAGAAAAAAUAGUAAGUUUUUUUUAAUAAAUUAUCAUUUUUCUUUUUUAAUAUUUCAAUUUUAAUAUUUCUGCAGCGAGAAGCUACCAACUUUAUUCAAAGCCAAGAAGAAAAAUCUUUGGGUGAAACGAAAUCUAUGAUACCUAUUGUAAGUUUAAUUAAUUUAUAUAUAUUUUUUAUAUAUUCGAUUUACUAUUUAUCUAUUUUUUCAAUAAAACAAUUCAUCAAAGAUUAUGGGGAUUGGAGAAGUAGAGAGUAUGUUUAGUACGACCAACGAAAGAAUGGCGCCCCUGAUUGGAAAGAAAAAGGCAUCUCAGAAAACACUUUUGUAUCUAGACGAGCGUCAAAGGUAGUGGACGACAAAAAUGAACAAAAUUAAGUUAUUUUUAAUUUAUUUAAUUGAAUUCAAAUAUUUUUGAACUUAUUUAUAUAAUUAUAGAAUAUGUUUAAAAUUCCAGAACGUGCAAAAAAAUAGCACGAAGAAAUUAACCUUCUUAAGAACGCGCAAAAAAAGAAAUUAACCAUUAAUCUUUUUCAGAUUUGGAUUUGCCCUAGAAAGAACCUCUUCAAAUACCUUCGACUUCUCCAUUGAAAUUUCCAACUGAAAAAGAAAGAAGGAAAAAAUUAUUUAAAAUUAAGAAAUCGAACGACUAAAUUAACAAUAAACGGAUCUUGUUUUACCUUUGCUUUACAAACGAUGCGACCAGUUGUUUCGUUGCAAACUUUCACAGUUGAUGUUUUGAUAUCUUAUCAGAAAGAAUUAAAUAAAGAAAUUAAUUUUUAAUUUUUUGAUGAAUUCUAGAUAUGAAUCUAUCUUGUUAUUUUACCUUUAAACACAGCAAAAUUGUUAUUCUUCAGAAUCUCAGAUAUGCCAAUCACAGAUCCCGUCGCAGAAAAACGCCAAAAAGAAACGAUUAAUAAUUUUCAAUGAAAACAUAAUCAAUAAUAAUUCAUAAUCCUACCCAUUCCAAGUGCAGAUAAUUCAAUUUCUUCAUACUGCUGAAGAUAUUUCUGAAAAUCCAUGAUCAUCAGUUAGAAAAUAGCCAAAAAUAAAUCGUCGAAAAACAUAAUGAUCUGAACAGUACCUUGGCUAGAUUAACGUAGAAGUAUAUUGGUUUCUUUGUAUUAGAAACCUGGAUCCUAUUCUUCUUAUGCUCCAUCUUUUCAGUGAUCUUGAAUUUCUUGAUUUUCUCUGCGAUUUCGUCAAUGGAUGCCAUGGAUUCGAGCUAGAUUUCGAAUUUUUCGAAUGAAAUCCUAUUAACAUCCAGAUGAAGAAUACUGAUAUAUAAACAGAUUAAAGAUUCGAUAUUCAUAAAAAAGAGAGACCAAUUUAAUUAGUGGUCACGAAAAAAAUCUAAUAAUAACCAAAUUCAUUUUAUUAUAUUAAAUCUAGGGAUUAUAUAAUUAGCAAGUUUUUUUAGUGACCACUAAUUCGAUUGGACAUCCCUUACAUUUAUUUUAUAUAAAUACCAACCAAUCUCAUUCAUCUGUGUUCUAUUAAAUUUUGUUGGUCUAGCUAUUUACAAGAUUACAGAAUUAAAAUGUGGCUCAAAUUCAUGGCAUUCGUUAAAGAAAUCAAGGAACAAAUCAGUAACACCAAGUUCAUAUCUAAAUCCUAAGCAUAAGAAGAACAUAAUUAGGGUUUAUAAGAAAAAUCAAUCAAUCUAAUGAUCUGAACAGUACCUUGGCUAGGUCAACGUAGAAGAAUAACAAAUCACCCUAUGAAAUAAUCUAUAAUAAAAAAUCCAACUAUGAUACACAAAAAAUAACUCUUGGUUGCUUGUGUUAUGCAACUACAAAUAAUAGAGAAUAUAAGUUCUCACCAAGAUCCUUUAAAGGAAUAUUCAUAAGAUAUCCCCCAAAUGUUAAAGGAUAUUUAAUACUAGAUCCACAAACUACAAACUUUCACAUUAGUAGAAAUGUGAUUUUUAGUGAAAACAUAUUUUCCUUCAAAAGUGAAGAAACAAAAGAAAACAUACAAAAUUCAGACUAACCCAAAAUUCAGAAAAGUUGUGGGUUCAAAAUGGAUCUACAAAAUAAAAUACAAACCCAAUAUUGGAGACAUUGAGAGAUAUAAAGGUAGGUUUGUUGCCAAGGCUUUACUCAAAAAAAGGAUUUGAUUUUUAUGAAAGUUUUGUUCCGGUAGCAAAAACAGUUCAUAUGUUCAACAAAGCAUUAGUUGAAAACAUAUUAAGAGCCUCUCUAAAGCUUGGAAUACAAAUAUCUACUCCAAGACUUGAGAGGGGAGAAAAGGAAUCAAUUAGUAAAUUAAAUAAUUAAGAUCUCUAAAUUAACUUCAUUUUACUUUAAGUCUUUUCAUGUAAUUUGUAAAACAUUUUUGGACUUAAGUGAAAUAAUAAAGUAAUUGAACAUUUUCAUAUAUGGGCCAAUAUUAAAGCCCAGUGAAAGAUAUUAACAUCAUACAACCCAAAAGCAAUGGAUCAAAUAUCUUGAAUUACAAUUAGUUGUUUAAAGAUCUUGAAUUUAAUUAGUUGUUUAAAACUAAUUGUAAUUAGUUAAAGAUAACUAAAAGAUUAUAGUUGAUUAUAAUUAAUAUAAAUAAGGCUGUAAAUAAUGUUAUUUUAUUCCAAUGAAAUAAUAUUUUUUUCUCCACUUUGAUUCGUCACACAACGAUGGCAAUUCCCCCCAAAUCUGACCGUCGUCCGCUCUGGCAGUUCGAUUCGACCAUCGUUGAUUAUCCAUCCAUGCAGGAAUUUAACAACACUAACCAAGGUGAUUGAUAUGAGGCUGUUCAAUUAUUCUGAAGUUGAGAAAGACAUUUGAUGCUUUGGAAAUUAAGAACCCUAGAAAUGGAUUUGGGAUCGAGAAGGCGAUGAUUCAAGGACGUUGGAGGCAAGCAAACCCUAUUCAAGCAUAUUCAAGAAGAACCGGUAGAAAUCAUUGGAUGCGAUGAUACUCAGCUUCAGAUGCCAUUAGUAUCAAGAUUAAUC
rnacentral:lncRNA from 1 species